GACAGAGGUCCCGAGCGUUAGGCGGAAUCACUGGGCUUAAAGCGUGUGUAGGCGGAUGCCUAAGUCCCUUGUGAAAUCCCACGGCUCACCCGUGGAACUGCUUGGUAUACUGGGUGUCUUGAGCCACUUAGGGGCUACCGGAACAAAUGGUGGAGCGGUGAAAUGCGUAGAUAUCAUUUGGAACGCCAAUGGUGAAAACAGGUAGCUGGGAGUGUGCUGACGCUGAGACACGAAAGCCAGGGGAGCAAACGGG
rnacentral:rRNA from 1 species